rnacentral:pre_miRNA from 1 species
GAGGAGGGCAGGGUCCUGGGCUGUGUCCCCCAGCGCCCUGGGAUCAGGGGUCUGCGCCACUGGAAUCUCGCUCCUGGGGCCUGGCAGCGCCCU